GGGUUAUCCCGGUUCCAACUGGAGGAAACCAAAGCGGCAAAGGGAGAGAAGUUAUAACUUACCCAUCACUUAGAUUCACGCACUUUGACAACUUCCACGCUGAUUAGGCUGCAAGCAGAUCCACUACUGAUGGAGGUGAUCCAAAGUAUUCAUCCACAAUGGAGCCACUGAUCGAGGUGAAUGACUCCCUUUCACAUUGCUGGGCCAUAGUGGGGUGACUCCCUACCACCAUGAUGCGACACUACAACAGCUGGAGGGCUCUCAGCUACGCACCCUUCCACUUCCGGCAGCCAGAUCUGCUUACCUGAAGGAAAUGUUGGACAUAUCCACUUUAUGCUGUAUAACACCCAAAAGAACAUGAACAAGUCUAGGAUGGAGAGGAGGAACAACGGUUCUGGCGCAGAAUGGAUCUCUUGAUUAUGGCCUAUUUGCUACACAGGGCGACCUAGAAAGGAGACAUCUUACUACACAAAGUGCCUGCAAUCUGUGCCUCAUGUUAUACUCUUAACUGAUGGUAGAGAUCCGGCUUAACUCUAGUCACCAUUCUGUUUUUAAGUGCUGCGAAUUCUGCUGAUUUCUUUACUCUAUUUUCACAUAGCGACCAGUAUCCAGUGGAACUAAGUCUAUCCUGUUUCAUAAGUUAAUUCAGCAUGUUUAACAUCAACUAUAUCUAGCCUAUCUCUUUAAUGUAUGGAAGGGCUUCAAUUAAUUUUCAGCUUAAUUCCUAUAUUUAUGUAGACAUGUAAGCCUAAUCCACUGUUCUUACUCCUCAUGUCUAGACAAUACUGUUAGCUAGAUGAAUCUUAUGUAGAACACCCUUGUAGGCAUG